rnacentral:rRNA from 1 species
UACGGGGGGGGUAAGCGUUGUUCGGAAUUACUGGGCGUAAAGGGCUCGUAGGCGGCCAACUAAGUCAGACGUGAAAUCCCUCAGCUUAACUGGGGAACUGCGUCUGAUACUGGAUGGCUUGGAUUCGGGAGAGGAAUGCGAAAUUCCAGGUGUAGCGGUGAAAUGCGUAGAUAUCUGGAGGAACACCGGUGGCGAAGGCGGCAUUCUGGACCGACAUUGACGCUGAGGAGCGAAAGCCAGGGGAGCAAACGGG